AUGCGCACGCUGGAAUUCGUGCCGCCGGCGUCGCGGCACAGGAUUGCGGAAGAGACCCUCGACAUCUAUGCGCCGCUCGCCGGCCGCAUGGGUAUGCAAGAAAUGCGCGAAGAGCUGGAAGACCUGUCGUUCAAGGUGAUCGAUCCGGAGGCGNGUGAUCGAUCCCGAGGCGCACGCCGUCGUUGUGCAGCGCCUGGAUGCGCUUGAAGAGCGCGACCGCAAUCUGAUCGGCGAAAUUGAAGCCCAGCUUUCCGCCAAGCUCGCCAAGAACGGUGUGAACGCGCACGUGAAAGGCCGCCGCAAGCAGCCGUUCUCGAUCUGG
rnacentral:misc_RNA from 1 species